GCGCCCGUAGCUCAGCUGGAUAGAGCACCCGCCUUCUAAGCGGACGGUCCUUGGUUCGAAUCCAAGCGGGCGCACCA
rnacentral:tRNA from 1 species